rnacentral:rRNA from 1 species
UACAGAGGUCCCAAGCGUUGUUCGGAUUCACUGGGCGUAAAGGGUGCGUAGGUGGUUAGGUAAGUCUGAUGUGAAAUCUCUGGGCUCAACCCAGAAACUGCAUUGGAUACUAUCUAGCUAGAGGAGUGGAGGGGGGACUGGAAUACUUGGUGUAGCAGUGAAAUGCGUAGAUAUCAAGUGGAACACCAGUGGCGAAGGCGAGUCCCUGGACACUUCCUGACACUGAGGCACGAAAGCUAGGGGAGCAAACAGG